GGCGCCUAAGGAUGGGUCUGCGGCCUAUCAGGUAGUAGUGGGUGUAGCGUACCUACUAGCCUACGACGGGUACGGGUUGUGAGAGCAAGAGCCCGGAGAUGGAUUCUGAGACACUAAUCCAGGCCCUACGGGGUGCAGCAGGCGCGAAAACUUUACAAUGCUGGGAACAGCGAUAAGGGAACCUCGAGUGCCAGGUUACAAAUCUGGCUGUCGUGAUGCCUAAAAAGCAUUAUAUAGCAAGGGCCGGGCAAGACCGGUGCCAGCCGCCGCGGUAACACCGGCGGCUCGAGUGGUAACCGUUAUUAUUGGGUCUAAAGGGUCUGUAGCCGGCCGGAUAAGUCUCUUGGGAAAUCUGGCAGCUUAACUGUCAGGCUUUCAGGGGAUACUGUCUGGCUCGAGGCCGGGAGAGGUGAGAGGUACUUCAGGGGUAGGGGUGAAAUCUUGUAAUCCUUGAAGGACCACCAGUGGCGAAGGCGUCUCACCAGAACGGACCUGACGGCAAGGGACGAAAACUAGGGGCACGAACCGGAUUAGAUACCCGGGUAGUCCUAGCCGUAAACGAUACUCGCUAGGUGUCGGCCACGGUGCGACCGUUGUCGGUGCCGUAGGGAAGCCGUGAAGCGAGCC
rnacentral:rRNA from 1 species